UUCCUAUCAGUCUGGAAUACAAAUGAAGGAGAAGCCUAUGAAAAGAAGGACAGAAUGGAGAGGUAAAGAACCCACUUUGCCCAAGGAUUUUAAUUUUUUUCGCGAGUGAGGACCUUCUUCUGUAUUUUUCUACAUGCUAUACAAUGCCUGAAGAUAACGAAUCUUCACCAACUACAUGUUAUGUUAAUCAGAGCCACGUGACUAGAUCUGACCAAUGUGUUUCUGAAACAACGACUUAUUUACUUGUGCCAGAUGCUCUGGACCCCUCCCAACCGCCGCUUUGUGAUAAUGCAGAGAUAAAGAUCUCACUAGAUCCCUCAGCCUCCAAACAAAGGAUAGCAGCCUUGGUGAAGUGUCCAAAUUCACAAUGGAUUGUGUGUUUGAGAGAAAUAAGCUUUUUUUAGGUUAAGCCACAGAGAUUUGAGAACUGUUUGUUACCAUAGUGCAAUGUGUUCUAAUGUGAC
rnacentral:lncRNA from 1 species